UCCCUGGUGGCUCAGCUGGUAAAGAAUCUGCCUGUAAUGCAGGAGACCUGGGUUUGAUCCCUGGUUGGGAAG
rnacentral:tRNA from 1 species